rnacentral:rRNA from 1 species
AUUGAACGCUGGCGGCAUGCCUUACACAUGCAAGUCGAACGGCAGCACGGGAGCAAUCCUGGUGGCGAGUGGCGAACGGGUGAGUAAUAUAUCGGAACGUGCCCGGUCGUGGGGGAUAACGUAGCGAAAGCUACGCUAAUACCGCAUACGAUCUACGGACGAAAGCGGGGGAUCGCAAGACCUCGCGCGAUUGGAGCGGCCGAUAUCAGAUUAGGUAGUUGGUGAGGUAAAGGCUCACCAAGCCGACGAUCUGUAGCUGGUCUGAGAGGACGACCAGCCACACUGGGACUGAGACACGGCCCCAGACUCCUACGGGAGGCAGCAGUGGGGGAAUUUUUGGACAAUGGGCGCAAGCCUGAUCCAGCAAUGCCGCGUGCAGGAUGAAGGCCUUCGGGUUGU